AUCGUAACAAGGUUUCCGUAGGUGAACCUGCGGAAGGAUCAUUACCGAGUGAGGGCCCUCUGGGUCCAACCUCCCACCCGUGUUUAUCGUACCUUGUUGCUUCGGCGGGCCCGCCGCAAGGCCGCCGGGGGGCAUCUGCCCUCUGGCCCGCGCCCGCCGAAGACACCAUUGAACGCUGUCUGAAGAUUGCAGUCUGAGCAAUUAGUUAAAUAACUUAAAACUUUCAACAACGGAUCUCUUGGUUCCGGCAUCGAUGAAGAACGCAGCGAAAUGCGAUACGUAAUGUGAAUUGCAGAAUUCAGUGAAUCAUCGAGUCUUUGAACGCACAUUGCGCCCCCUGGUAUUCCGGGGGGCAUGCCUGUCCGAGCGUCAUUGCUGCCCUCAAGCACGGCUUGUGUGUUGGGCUCCGUCCUCCUUCCGGGGGACGGGCCCGAAAGGCAGCGGCGGCACCGCGUCCGGUCCUCGAGCGUAUGGGGCUUCGUCACCCGCUCUGCAGGCCCGGCCGGCGCUUGCCGACACAUCAAUCUUUUUUCCAGGUUGACCUCGGAUCAGGUAGGGAUACCCGCUGAACUUAAGCAUAUCAAAAGCCGGGAAGGGAA
rnacentral:rRNA from 1 species